rnacentral:rRNA from 1 species
CAGUUUUCAUUAAUGUGACCUCAAAUCAGGUAGGACUACCCGC